GAUGAAGAACGCAGCGAAAUGCGAUACGUAGUGUGAAUUGCAGAAUUCAGUGAAUCAUCGAAUCUUUGAACACACAUUGCACCUCUCGGUAUUCCGGGAGGUAUGCCUGUUCGAGCGUCAUUUGUACCCUCAAGCUCUGCUUGGUGUUGGGUGUUUGUUCCGCCUCUGUGUGUGAACUCGCCUCAAAACAAUUGGCAGCCGGCGUACUUGUUUCGGAGCGCAGCACAUUUUGCGAUCCAGAUCAACGUACAGCGGCAUCCAAGAAGCCUUAUUUAACGCUCUUGACCUCGGAUCAGGUAGGGAUACCCGCUGAACUUAAGCAUAUCAAAAGCGGAGGA
rnacentral:misc_RNA from 1 species